AGGACGAACGCUGGCGGCGUGCUUAACACAUGCAAGUCGAGCGGAAAGGCCCUUCGGGGUACUCGAGCGGCGAACGGGUGAGUAACACGUGAGUAAUCUGCCCCUAGCUCUGGGAUAACUCCGGGAAACCGGGGCUAAUACCGGAUAUGACCUCCGAGGGCAUCCUCUGGAGGUGGAAAGGAUUCUGGCUAGGGAUGAGCCCGCGGCCUAUCAGCUAGUUGGUGGGGUAAUGGCCCACCAAGGCGACGACGGGUA
rnacentral:rRNA from 1 species